GUGAGCUGUAAAUAGCUUGCUUUUGGUGUUUUAUAGUAGGUUGGGAAUGAUUUGACAAGGGAACCUUCUAUUCAAUCUUUGUUUGGUGUGCGUUGAACAGAGAAAACUUGAGUUUUGAUUUAAGUAUGAGCUCGUUCAACUGUCUAUUCCUAGGUCGCAAAAUGUGAGUUUUCGUAAGGACUGGCACCUCAAGGGUCUCAUAGCCUGCACGAUCAAUAGCCGCUGGCUUUUUAAGGCACUAACGCCAUUUGAGCCUUGCCUGUCGACUCUCUCCAUAAGUUCAUCGAGUUACUA
rnacentral:misc_RNA from 1 species